GGCCAGCAGGUAAGCUGAGAGACCAAGCAGUCGGACUCUUCAGAUUAUCUCCUCAUCAGGCUAAUCACGGU
rnacentral:sRNA from 1 species